GGGGCCGUAGCUCAGAUGGGAGAGCGCGUCGUUCGCAAUGACGAGGUCAGGGGUUCGAUUCCCCUCGGCUCCA
rnacentral:tRNA from 1 species